GCCUUCGUGGUGUAGUGGUCAGCACGCUCAACGCCUAUUCGAAAGGCCCGCGGUUCGAGUCCCGACGAAGGCG
rnacentral:tRNA from 1 species